CGGGGAAGACUGGGAUGUAGCUCAGCGGUAAAUGCCCCUAAGUUCAAUCCAUGUAUCAAAAAAUAAGAUAUUUAAGAGGAAAAAUUUGUCUUGAAAUUUUUAGCCAGGUAUGGUGGUACAUGCCUGUAAUUCCAGAAGCUUGAGAGUCUGAGGCAGGAGGAUCACAAGUUGAAAGCCACCCUCAUCAAUUUAGUGAGGUCCUAAGCAAUUUAGUAAGAGCCUAUCUCAAAAAAUAAAAAGGGUUGGGGAUGUGGCUCAUUGGUAAAGCACCCCUGGGUUCAAUCCAAAAAAUAAAUAAGUAAAUAAAAAUGAAGUAAAAUAAAAUUCUUAGAAUUGUCAAUCAUACACCAUGCCACCCUCUAGAAGUUGCUGAGCUUUUUCUUCAAAUACCAAAAUUCUCUUUUCACCUCCUAAUGCAAAUUAUUUAGUCCAGUCCCUCGAUCAGGGUGUGAUUGCAGAAUUUAAAGCGUGUUAUUUGAGGUGAACAUUCAAGAUGUUAAUUGUAUCUGUAAAGGGGAUAAUACCCAAACAAUUUCUGAAUUCUGGGAUUGAGUCAAUAUUAAACUUGUGACUGGUAUUAUUGGAGAGGUCUAGAACAAUCUCACAAAAUCUUGCUUGCAUGGGGUAUGACAUAGAAUUCUUCCUGAUUUAAUACAUGAUUCCAAGGUGUUUAGCUUUCCAAAAAUUGUCUCCCAAAUCAAAUCAAAUUGUAUUGCUACUGCAAACGAGGUUAAAUUUAAAGAAGUUGAGACUGAAGAUAUUAAGGAACUACUGCCAAGGAUCUUUCUGUACAAGAGCUACAAGUUAUUUGCUGAGGCACACAUGAAAGGUGUGGGGAAGAAGAAGAUGCAAUUCAUCAAGCUGCUCCUCAAGCCCUUUCCACUUCUAAGUUAUGAUAGAAAAAUGGUUGCAGUGGAUGGAAGAUAAUGACCACAGUGCAGAACAUAGCAAGUUUGUACUUCAUAGCAUUUGGAGCCAUAGAAAGAGCUUCUUUAUGAAGGAAAGAAAAUAUUUUAAAAACUGGAUAUCUUUUUAUAAGUCAGUGCUAAAGAAAUAAAAACAAGAUGAUGAGCCAAAAUAAUUACUGUGUUUCUUGGAAAGUGUGCAAAUGCUUCUUCAACUUCUGAAGAUAGUAUCUCUCUACCCUUGCCCUUUCCUUACACCUAUUUCUAACAAGAUACCAUCACCUUUCUAAGAUGAAAUGCUAUGUAAUAUUUCUUCAUUUAAUAUAUUUUUGAGCAAACUGUGUUUUUACUGAAGUUGCUAUAGUUUGAUUCAUGUUCCAGUAACAAUUUAGUUUUUAGACAGUUCAUCCUUUACCUUAUUUUCCUCAUGAAUCCUGUUAUUUUUGUGCAGUUUUACAGAAAGCAUGUUCUUUUAGGAGAGUCAUACAUUAUAGCACUUAUGCCUCUAAGGCAGUUUCUCACCUCUAGCAGCACCUCUUUUUCUUUUGUUUCAAAUAAACUUUUUUUUCUGUUAGUAUGUGCCUAUUACUUUAUAAUUUCUUCUAGCUUUGUUGAAAAAUGCAGCCACUGGUAGGAGUUGGUGUUUGGUCAGUUCCCCAAGUAACAUUUGCAGGUGUAUUCUGAUCAUAUUUGAUAGUUUUUAUAUGGCUUAGGAUUUAUGAAUAUCUCUUAGUCUUGUUGAAGACUAAGUUUGCUUAAGUGUUUCUCAUUUUUCUUGUUUUUGUGUAAUUUCUGAGAGGGGGAAAUAACCACUAAUGGAUAGUUUUAGCUGCCAACCCAGUAUGUAUUCUCUCCAUCAUGUUGUCCUAACAAAAUGUUGGGUUUGUUCAUGCUGGUAAUAUACCUAUAUAAAUUCUCUUCCUGCCUUUCUUGUACUAGUGUUAGCCAUUCAGCAUAGUUAUGGACAGAAAGAACUAAAUAUGUUUUCUGGGGAAGCUUUUACUUUCCUGAUAAAAUGUAACAGAUGUGUUUAGUUUCACUUUAUCUGACUUCCUAUGGUAGCCAUCUUGUGAC
rnacentral:lncRNA from 1 species